UUAAAGAUUUUAAUUUUAAGUNUAAUNUGCCCACUGAAUAUUUUAAAUGGCUGCAGUAUCUAUGACUGUACAAAGGUAGCAUAAUAAUUUGUUUUUUAAUUAAAAACUAGAAUGAAAGAUUAGAUGAAAUAUUAACUGUUUCAAAUAAAUAAAUUAAAUUUUUUAUUUAAGUUAAAAAACUUAAAUAAAUUUUAAAGACGAUAAGACCCUAUAGAAUUUUAUUUAAAUUAUUAAUUUUAUUUAAUAAUUUAACUUUAAUUGGGGUAAUUGAAAAAAUAAUAAAUUUUUUUUUUUAAAAAUCAUUAAUAAAUGUUUUAUGAAUCUUAAUUUUUAAAUUAUAAAAAUUAAUUACCUUAGGGAUAACAGCAUAAUUUUUUUUGAAAGUUCAUAUUUAUAAAAAA
rnacentral:rRNA from 1 species